rnacentral:tRNA from 11 species
GGCUCUAUGGCGGAAUUGGUAGACGCGUACGAUUCAAAAUCGUGUUCCAUUGGAGUGCCAGUUCGACUCUGGCUAGGGCUACCA